AGUAAACGGCGGCCGUAACAAUAACGGUCCUAAGGUAGCGAAAUUCCUUGUCGGGUAAGUUCCGACCCGCACGAAAGGCGUAAUGAUUUGGGCACUGUCUCAACGAGAGACUCGGUGAAAUUUUAGUACCUGUGAAGAUGCAGGUUACCCGCGACAGGACGGAAAGACCCCAUGGAGCUUUACUGCAGUUUGAUAUUGAGUGUCUGUACCACAUGUACAGGAUAGGUAGGAGUCUAUGAGAUCGGGACGCCAUUUUCGAAGGAGACGUUGUUGGGAUUCUACCCUUGUGUUAUGGCCACUCUAACCCGGAUAGGUGAUCCCUAUCGGAG
rnacentral:rRNA from 1 species